rnacentral:rRNA from 1 species
UACGUAGGGUGCAAGCGUUAAUCGGAAUUACUGGGCGUAAAGCGUGCGCAGGCGGUCUUGCAAGACAGGUGUGAAAUCCCCGGGCUUAACCUGGGAACUGCACUUGUGACUGCAAGGCUGGAGUACGGCAGAGGGGGAUGGAAUUCCGCGUGUAGCAGUGAAAUGCGUAGAUAUGCGGAGGAACACCGAUGGCGAAGGCAAUCCCCUGGGCCUGUACUGACGCUCAUGCACGAAAGCGUGGGGAGCGAACAGG